ACCUGGGAUAAAUUGAAAUAAAUUGUUCCUACAUGAUUCUUCAUAUUUGUUUGUUUUCAUAACACACUUGAGCGAUUCUUCAUACCAAAGGCACCUGAGCUUCCCCUUUCUCUCACCUUGGGGGAUUAUAGACUGUUCUCCCAUCUUCUCUCACCUGUAAUACUUUAGCUGGACAUACAGAGACACAAUAAAAAAAGAGUUGCAGGAAAGGAAAGUUCAGAGGAAAGGGGAAACUCAAGUGGUUUUAAUAUGAAGACUCACUCAAGCAUAUUAUGAAAAUAAGCAAGCAAGCAAACAAACAAAGCUAGUUAUUGAACCACCCAUUAUUUCAAGAAGAAAAAAAAAACAGCUCCACAGAGAAACAUUUCUGGAACAAUCUGGAGAUUUGCAAGGCUUUGGUGGAAUACAAUGUUUUUAUUUGUGGAGAGAAUAAGAAAUCAAAGACAAGGCUUGAAAGGAGAGGAAAACAACCUUGUAAAAAUGAUGAUUUUUAGAGACCAUAAUGUGACAAAGCUCCGGUCGAUAUGCAAAAUAGGUUCAUGAAUAUUAUCUGAUGGAUUGAAAAGAUGCAUCUGAAUUCCUUCCUAGAUUUUUGUCUGAUAAUGUAGAAGCAAAUUGUUAACUAUCUGUUGAAAGUUGGAGUCUUUUUAAAACCUAGCUUUUACAUUAUUAAUAUGUGCUUCAUUGUGUUUUCCCCACAUACCAGUUAUUUCUGGGGAAAGCAGCAUGUUAGUUGCAAGCCACUUUUCUAACAAAAUAUGUGACUGUUUUCACCCCUUGGGACCCUAGGGACUUAAAAAAAAAGAAAAAAAGCCACUUUUUAAAAUCACACACUAAUGUUUAAUUAUUUAAGUUCAGGGAGCGUCAAUGAGAGGUCUGUAAAAUUAAGUUUCUAUUUUAUUUUCUUUUAAAAAGUAAUAAUGUAAGAGCCAAACUCUGUGCCCUCAUGUGCUGGUUUCUGCAUUAAAUGUGAUUCUGCAGGACCAAUGCAUCACUUUGCAUGGAAGAUAUCAGCCAAUGGCAUUUACUGACAGCAAUGCAUGCCCUCAUCAGCUGCCAUGGUCACCAAACUUUUUAUUCUUUCUUUUCAGCCUCAUUCAACCUCAGAAAUGUUAGUCCUUUUCUUGAAGCGUAAACAGAGAGAACAAAGGAGCACAUGCUCAAAAAGAAGUAGAAGUGGGAGCACCUGUGGACCCAGAGACUGACCAUCAAAGAAAGUAGUUGCCUGACAAUUUUCCAGUUUCUGCAUUCCUGCUCUUCGUACUCCAUUUGAGUCUACGGUGGACUCCUCCCUCCCCAUUUUGGUCUGCUUAGCACUCAUUUAUUUCUUCUGCUACUUAUGAACUCUGGUGAGACUGUUAAUUGUAGUGUCUCUCUGGCCUUUUGGUCCAGACAUGGGCGUGUGACCCAGUGAGGGUUGCUCCUAGAUUUGGUAUGUGGGCACUGGGAGAAAAAGCUCUCUCUUCUUUUUGAAGCAUGAGCUAUACGGGAUGUAGGUUUCCAAAGGAGCUCCUUUCUGCCAUGUGUUGAGAGGUUGCCAAUAGUAAAAGGAUGAGGCCAAAACACAACAGAAGCCUAGACAAGUAAAGCUGAGUGGUUUGAGAAAGAGACAGAGAACCCUUACAACAGUCAGAGAUUCAACACACAUUAGCAAAAACCUCACCCUUCUACCUGAACUAUUUUGAGAGAACCUCUGUUCUUUGCAAAUAAAUUGUCCUUAAUGGAGUACUCUGCAAUCAUUGAAUUCAGUUUUUGUUUUAUUUUGCAGAUAGGAAAGUUAAGGCCCAGGGUGGCUAAGUGACUUCCUCAUGACAUUUCAGCAUUGACUUGUGGCCUCCCAAACACAAACCUAGGACCUGUGAAUACCAAAAUCUGGGGAUACUCAAGUCCCUUAUAUAAAAUGGUAUAAUAUUUGCAUAUAACCCAUGCAUAUAAUCUCUAGAUUACUUAUAAUACCUAAUACCAUGUAAGUGGUAUAUAAAUAGUAGUUAUACUUUAUUGAUUUUUAUUUGUAUUUUUAGCUGUUGUAUUGUUGUUUUUAUUGUUUUUUUAUUCCGAAAUAUUUCCCAUCUGCCAUUGGUUGAAUACAGGAUGCAGAACUGGAGGAUAUGAAGGGCUGACUGUAGUUAGUAAAUUCAUAGAUAAGGAUCAAUCUUAUCAAAAUCAAAUAAAUGUAUGUUAAAAAUGUAAUGUCUUAGCUACUAAAUUCAUUUUCCCUAAAAUUAACAAUAUCUAAUACUAGAAGCAGCAUCUUCAAAAUUGGUUGUUCAUCUGGGAGACUGUGGUUAAAUUUCUUUUUUAGGCUUGAAGGCGUCAUAAUGCCCACAAUAUAUUUAUUUUCUCUCUUCUUUGGGAAAAGAAAAAUUGUGACUUUCCUAUUAUUCUGAAGUAAUUCCCACAAAGACUUCAAUACACCUUCCUCGGAAAGACACAUUUUGCAUCAUUGCAACAAUAAGUAUUCAUACAUUGUAAGGCUUGCAAACUUCCACUGAGAACGCAUUGCUCAAAAUAUUUGCCAGUUUGAGGUUUAAUGACACCUCAAGUGACAUUAUGUGUUUGCUGUCACUCACAUUUCCUAGACGAAUUUUUAAGGGAUGGAAAGAAAUCCUCUAGGUUGUAAUAGAACCCCAGUUUUGAGGGGUUAUUAUUUUGGACCUACAAAAAAAUUUAUAAUCAGAUAGCUUAAAUCAGUGUGGUAAUAUUUGCAUGCUGUACUGUAAUAUUGUUUUGCAUAAAGAAUAAAGGGACAAUGAAAUAACA